GCUUCGGUGGAUUCUUGUGCAUCUUAGUGGCGGACGGGUGAGUAACGCGUGGGCGACCUGCCUCACACAGGGGGAUAACAGCCAGAAAUGGCUGCUAAUACCGCAUAAGCGCACAGUGCUGCAUGGCACAGUGUGAAAAACCGAGGUGGUGUGAGAUGGGCCCGCGUCUGAUUAGCUUGUUGGCGGGGUAACGGCCCACCAAGGCAACGAUCAGUAGCCGGCUUGAGAGAGUGGACGGCCACAUUGGAACUGAGACACGGUCCAAACUCCUACGGGAGGCAGCAGUGGGGAAUAUUGCACAAUGGGGGAAACCCUGAUGCAGCGACGCCGCGUGAGUGAAGAAGUAUUUCGGUAUGUAAAGCUCUAUCAGCAGGGAAGAUAAUGACGGUACCUGACUAAGAAGCCCCGGCUAACUACGUGCCAGCAGCCGCGGUAAUACGUAGGGGGCAAGCGUUAUCCGGAUUUACUGGGUGUAAAGGGUGCGUAGGUGGCAUGGCAAGUCAGAAGUGAAAGCCCGGGGCUCAACCCCGCGGACUGCUUUUGAAACUGUCAGGCUGGAGUACAGGAGAGGUAAGCGGAAUUCCUAGUGUAGCGGUGAAAUGCGUAGAUAUUAGGAGGAACACCAGUGGCGAAGGCGGCUUACUGGACUGUAACUGACACUGAGGCACGAAAGCGUGGGGAGCAAACAGGAUUAGAUACCCUGGUAGUCC
rnacentral:rRNA from 1 species